rnacentral:rRNA from 1 species
GAACGGUAGCACAGGGGAGCUUGCUCCCCGGGUGACGAGUGGCGGACGGGUGAGUAAUGCCUGGGAAACUGCCCGAUGGAGGGGGAUAACUACUGGAAACGGUAGCUAAUACCGCAUAACGUCUUCGGACCAAAGUGGGGGACCUUCGGGCCUCACACCAUCGGAUGUGCCCAGGUGGGAUUAGCUAGUAGGUGGGGUAACGGCUCACCUAGGCGACGAUCCCUAGCUGGUCUGAGAGGAUGACCAGCCACACUGGAACUGAGACACGGUCCAGACUCCUACGGGAGGCAGCAGUGGGGAAUAUUGCACAAUGGGCGCAAGCCUGAUGCAGCCAUGCCGCGUGUAUGAAGAAGGCCUUCGGGUUGUAAAGUACUUUCAGUGGGGAGGAAGGCGAUGGAGUUAAUAGCUUCGUCGAUUGACGUUACCCGCAGAAGAAGCACCGGCUAACUCCGUGCCAGCAGCCGCGGUAAUACGGAGGGUGCAAGCGUUAAUCGGAAUUACUGGGCGUAAAGCGCACGCAGGCGGUCUGUCAAGUCGGAUGUGAAAUCCCCGGGCUCAACCUGGGAACUGCAUUCGAAACUGGCAGGCUAGAGUCUUGUAGAGGGGGGUAGAAUUCCAGGUGUAGCGGUGAAAUGCGUAGAGAUCUGGAGGAAUACCGGUGGCGAAGGCGGCCCCCUGGACAAAGACUGACGCUCAGGUGCGAAAGCGUGGGGAGCAAACAGGAUUAGAUACCCUGGUAGUCCACGCCGUAAACGAUGUCGACUUAGAGGUUGUGCCCUUGAGGCGUGGCUUCCGGAGCUAACGCGUUAAGUCGACCGCCUGGGGAGUACGGCCGCAAGGUUAAAACUCAAAUGAAUUGACGGGGGCCCGCACAAGCGGUGGAGCAUGUGGUUUAAUUCGAUGCAACGCGAAGAACCUUACCUGGCCUUGACAUCCACGGAAUUUGGCAGAGAUGCCUUAGUGCCUUCGGGAACCGUGAGACAGGUGCUGCAUGGCUGUCGUCAGCUCGUGUUGUGAAAUGUU